GAUGAAGAACGCAGCGAAACGCGAUAGUUAAUGUGAAUUGCAGAAUUCAGUGAAUCAUCGAGUCUUUGAACGCACAUUGCGCCCCCUGGUAUUCCGGGGGGCAUGCCUGUCCGAGCGUCAUUGCUGCCCAUCAAGCGCGGCUUGUGUGUUGGGCCGCCGUCCGCCUUCCCCCCCGGGGGGAGGGGGACGGGCCCGAAAGGCAGCGGCGGCACCGCGUCCGGUCCUCGAGCGUAUGGGGCUUUGUCACCCGCUCUGUAGGCCCGGCCGGCGCUUGCCGAUCAACCAAAACUUUUUUCCAGGUUGACCUCGGAUCAGGUAGGGAUACCCGCUGAACUUAAGCAUAUCAAUAAGCGGAGGA
rnacentral:misc_RNA from 1 species